GAUGAACGCUGGCGGCGUGCCUAAUACAUGCAAGUCGAGCGAACGGACGAGAAGCUUGCUUUUCUGAUGUUAGCGGCGGACGGGUGAGUAACACGUGGAUAACCUACCUAUAAGACUGGGAUAACUUCGGGAAACCGGAGCUAAUACCGGAUAAUAUUUUGAACCGCAUGGUUCAAAAGUGAAAGACGGUCUUCCUGUACCUAAUGAAGGAUCCGCCGUGCAUUAGCUAGUUGGUAAGGUAACGGCUUACCAAGGCAACGAUGCAUAGCCGACCUGAGAGGGUGAUCGGCCACACUGGAACUGAGACACGGUCCAGACUCCUACGGGAGGCAGCAGUAGGGAAUCUUCCGCAAUGGGCGAAAGCCUGACGGAGCAACGCCGCGUGAGUGAUGAAGGUCGUCGGAUCGUAAAACUCUGUUAUUAGGGAAGAACAUAUGUGUAAGUAACUGUGCACAUCUUGACGGUACCUAAUCAGAAAGCCACGGCUAACUACG
rnacentral:rRNA from 1 species